rnacentral:snRNA from 1 species
GUGCUCGCUCUGGCAGCACAUAUACUAAAA